rnacentral:rRNA from 1 species
UACGAAGGGGGCUAGCGUUGUUCGGAAUUACUGGGCGUAAAGCGCACGUAGGCGGACAUUUAAGUCAGGGGUGAAAUCCCGGGGCUCAACCCCGGAACUGCCUUUGAUACUGGGUGUCUAGAGUAUGGAAGAGGUGAGUGGAAUUCCGAGUGUAGAGGUGAAAUUCGUAGAUAUCGGGAGGAACAUCAGUGGCGAAGGCGGCUACCUGGCCCAAUACUGACACUCAGGUGCGACAGCGUGGGGAGCAAACAGG